rnacentral:rRNA from 1 species
CGCGGCCUAUCAGCUUGUUGGUGGGGUAGUGGCCUACCAAGGCGACGACGGGUAGCCGGCCUGAGAGGGCGACCGGCCACACUGGGACUGAGACACGGCCCAGACUCCUACGGAGACAGCAGUGGGGAAUAUUGCGCAAUGGGCGGAAGCCUGACGCAGCGACGCCGCGUGGGGGAUGACGGCCUUCGGGUUGUAAACCUCUUUCAGCCAGGGACGAAGCGAAAGUGACGGUACCUGCAGAAGAAGCACCGGCCAACUACGUGCCAGCAGCCGCGGUAAUACGUAGGGUGCAAGCGUUGUCCGGAAUUAUUGGGCGUAAAGAGCUCGUAGGCGGUUUGUUGCGUCGGCUGUGAAAACCUGAGGCUCAACCUCAGGCCUGCAGUCGAUACGAGCAGACUAGAGUGUUGCAGGGGAGACUGGAAUUCCUGGUGUAGCGGUGAAAUGCGCAGAUAUCAGGAGGAACACCGGUGACGAAGGCGGGUCUCUGGGCAACAACUGACGCUGAGGAGCGAAAGCGUGGGGAGCGAACAGGAUUAGAUACCCAGGUAGUCCACGCCGUAAACGUUGGGCGCUAGGUGUGGGGCUCAUUCCACGAGUUCCGUGCCGCAGCUAACGCAUUAAGCGCCCCGCCUGGGGAGUACGG